GGUUGUACCAGAAGUAGAUAGCUUAACCGCAAGGGGGGCGUUUACCACGGUAUGAUUCAUGACUGGGGUGAAGUCGUAACAAGGUAACCGUAGGGGAACCUGCGGUUGGAUCACCUCCUUA
rnacentral:rRNA from 1 species